rnacentral:rRNA from 1 species
UACGGAGGGUGCAAACGUUGCUCGGAAUCAUUGGGCGUAAAGCGCAUGUAGGCGGUCUUUUAAGUCGGGUGUGAAAGCCCUGGGCUCAACCCAGGAAGUGCACUUGAAACUGAAAGGCUAGAGUACGGAAGAGGGUCGUGGAAUUCCCGGUGUAGAGGUGAAAUUCGUAGAUAUCGGGAGGAACACCAGUGGCGAAGGCGGCGACCUGGGCCGAUACUGACGCUGAGAUGCGAAAGCGUGGGGAGCAAACAGG